rnacentral:rRNA from 1 species
AGCGAACGCUGGCGGCAGGCUUAACACAUGCAAGUCGAGCGGCCGUAGCAAUACGGCAGCGGCAGACGGGAGAGUAACACGUGGGAACGUGCCUAUCAGUUCGGAACAACCCAGGGAAACUUGGGCUAAUACCGGAUACGCCCUUACGGGGAAAGAUUUAUCGCCUUUAAAGCGGCCCGCGUCUGAUUAGCUAGUUGGUGAGGUAAUGGCUCACCAAGGCUACGAUCAGUAGCUGGUCUGAGAGGAUGGCCAGCCACAUUGGGACUGAGACACGGCCCAAACUCCUACGGGAGGCAGCAGUGGGGAAUCUUGCGCAAUGGGCGAAAGCCUGACGCAGCCAUGCCGCGUGAAUGAUGAAGGUCUUAGGAUUGUAAAAUUCUUUCACCGGGGACGAUAAUGACGGUACCCGGAGAAGAAGCCCCGGCUAACUUCGUGCCAGCCGCCGCGGUAACAC